GUGGAGCGUCACACCGGGUUUAAGGCAAGAACAUUUAGACAUCCAGAGGCAGGAGCCCUCCGGAGACGGGUCUGAUUGUCCUGGCGUCAGAGGAGCUAUGGAAAUGCGCGCCAGGCUCUAAAUGACUGGCAGGUGGCAGGCUGUGAUGUGGACAGCCCUGUUUCAUUGUUUUCCAUUUGAGCAGUAAGAGAAAUUCAAGGCGGCACUUGGCCCUCCUCUUCUGACUCACAGUCUUUGAACAAGAGAGUGCAGAUUCCUAAGCCUGAGAAAACAGGGCCUCUGGCUUCUUGGCAGGGAGAGGUUCCAGAGAGUGCAGGGGAGGCCCUGCCUCCUUGGGUGGGGUGACCUGGGCCUCCUGGGACCUCAGUUCCCUGCCUGUGAAAAAGACGGACGGAGGUAGAGAAUCCCAGGGUGCCUUUCCAGGACUAAAGACGGUGCCUUCUUUAUGUAAAUUCCAUCCUUCGCAAGUUCACUGUGGAGCGCUCUCCCGGGGCCCAGUCUCUAGGCGCAGAACACCCAGCCAGGUGUGGUUUCAGAGGGAGCUGGGGACGGAAGCCUGAAUGAAGUGGACUCAGCAGAGAUGGGAGGUGAGGCCGUGCCCUGCUGAGGUGGGAGGUGAGGCCGUGCCCUGCUAAGGUAGGAGGUGAGGCCGUGCCCUGCAGAGAUGGGAGGCGAGGCCGUGCCCUGCUGAGAUGGGAGGUGAGGCCGUGCCCUGCAGAGAUGGGAGGUGAGGCCGUGCCCUGCUGAGAUGGGAGGUGAGGCCGUGCCCUGCUGAGAUGGGAGGUGAGGCCGUGCCCUGCUGAGGUGGGAGGUGAGGCCGUGCCCUGCUGAGGUGGGAGGUGAGGCCGUGCCCUGCCGAGGGCUUCGUUAUACAGGGAGGAUAACUGGAGGGAAUGUGAGGUCAGUGGAGGGUGUUAGUAUUUUACAUGGGAAAUAAUAGAUACUGAAAAGGGAAGAAAUUAUAUGCAAGAGAGAGGGAUUAAUUAUAGAAACCAAGACCUUGAGUCAGUGACAGGGUAGGGGAACCAGGGCAGCAGCAGAGGGUCGCUGGGCAGCGGGGGUCGCUCAUCAGCUGGAGGGGUCCAUGGAGCGACACCUGCCCCCACCUCACAGCUGGAGGGGUCCAUGGAGCCGACACCUGCCCCCACCUCACAGCUGGAGGGGUCCAUGGAGCCGACACCUGCCCCCACCUCACAGCUGGAGGGGUCCAUGGAGCCGACACCUGCCCCCCGCCUCACAGCUGGAGGGGACCAUGGGGCGACACCUGCCCCCACCUCACAGCUGGAGGGGACCAUGGGGCGACACCUGCCCCCACCUCACAGCUGGAGGGGACCGUGAAGCCAACACCUGCCCCCCGCCUCACAGCUGGAGGGGACCAUGGAGCUGACACCUGCCCCCACCUCACAGCUGGAGGGGACCACAGGGUGGACACCCCCCCACCUCAUAGGCCCGUUGGACGAUCACGUGUGGAAUAAUGCAAUGUGUUUGGGUUCGUGCCUGGCACAUCGUAAGUGUGAAUUAGUACUGUGUGGCUUUACUCUUUGGUUUUCUGAACAUUUUUAUUCUUGAAUAGAAUUCGGGCUUUAUCUUUGCCUGUAGCCAGAAGGCCUAUCUGACUACUUUUCCCUAGACCAAAACAACAAAAAACUACACUCCCAUGACAUCUCUCCAAACGGGAUUCUCUGUAAGUAGAAAAAGAUGACUGAGUUUGAAAAUACCAGUCGCUCCCCGGUUCUCAUUAUCAUAUUGUCAGAAGCAUCCUGUGACACCCACAAAGUUUAGCACGUAAUCCCAUGCACGGCAAGCCCAAAGCUGGCGGGCUGGGGCGGCCCGUGGUAGAGAAAGCUGUCACCUUUGGGAUUCCGCAGACAGCAGCCUUGGUGCCACUGGGGUAGAAGCAUCCGCGUCUCCGGCAUUCGGUGUCAGCAUCUACAGUUAGACCUUCCCAUCCUUAUGGGCUGGGCCCCUCUGCUGUCCUCGAGCUGCAUCCAACACCGGGGAAAUGAGUCCUGACGACCGAGGGACGUCACCAAGAGUGUCACCACCCACACCGAGCAGCCACAGGCUCCAUGUCCAGCCCCUCCUUCCCCCGGGAGGGUGAGCCCAGGAGGUGAGAGCAGAGAUCGGGGCCUGGAGGUGCGGCCUGGGAAGCCUGUUGUGGGUGCCGCCUCCCUGAGCCACAACCUGUCCUGGGGAUCGGUGGACGCUCCGUGGCUCUGCAGAGCUGCUUGUACCACCCUUGCUGGAGGAGGAGGUUCUCGCAGUUUGCUUCCGUUUGUGGAUGAGAGACAGGUGGGUUGGUUGGUUCUUCCCAUCAUGGCAUCACAGCCAUUCCACGGGAGGUGAUGGCAGCUGAUUGUUCUGAGUCUCUGCUAAGUGGAAUCACCCCAAGACCUCGAGUGCAUGGACCCACUGGGCUCUGGGCCCCGCAGAGACGUGCCCAGGCCUGGAUGUGCUGACUGCUGGGCUGUCCCACACAGCUGGAGCCAGGAGCCCACAGUGGGCAGCAGGACCUUGACUUCAGGCGGGCAGAGCCGGGCAUCUCCUGUCUCCUCCCUGCCCUGGCUGGGAUAGGUUUUUAGGAGUAACUUUGCUAGAGGGAAGAUUCUGAGACAUCUGCGAUCCUGAGCUGCUCCGGUGGGCACCUGCCAGAAGACAGGAGCCCAGGCUGCAGGAGUCGCUGGUGGAGGAGGGGUGAGGCGGCGCCCCUGCCUCUGUGGUUCUGCAUGGGGCAGGGCCCCUGCUGCUCCGGGCGGGGAAAGAAGGUGGGAUUCUUAGACAUGGGAAACACACAGCAACAUCUGGCCCUUCCACAAAGAAGAUGUGCCAUGUUCACCUUGAUAUUUGGGUUUUUGAAGAAAACCUGUAAAAGCUGUAAAACCCGAACCAUGAGGACACCCCAGGGGCACACAGUUCUGGAGGCUGAAAAUCAAGAUCAGGAUGCUGGCGUCUGACAAGGGCUUUCUUGCUGCAUCCUCACGUGGCGGAAAGUGGAAGGGCAAGAGAGAGCGAACCCAUCCUGAAAACCCCAGAUUACAGAGGCACUAAUCCAUUUAUGUGGGUGGAGCUCCCAUGACCCAAACACCUCCAAAGGCCCCACCUCCUGACAAUGUUGCACUGGGGAUUACAUUUCCAACACAUGAAUCUGGGGAGACAGAUUCAGACCACAGCAGAUGUCAAGGCUGGUUCAAAGGACAAUGUGAAGAACAAAGGCAUGCUGAAAUGAAUUUGAUAAUAGAUGCAAACUUGGGUAACAUCCUACAGGACAAUAAGGUGUAAGUAAUACUUGGGAUCAUCUUUCCUUAGACAUGAGCAUCAGUUGCAUCUACAGUGAACAACACUGAUUACAUUGCCAUAGAGGAAGCUUUGUGUUGCUCUCAGAUAAGAAGCAUGCACACUGCUGUAUUCUCUACAUGAACUUCUAUUCUACAGUUGUAAAAUAGUUCAGUCAAUAGAAAGCCAACCACAGAGACACACCUAGUGGUUUGUUUUUGCCUAUUUUUAAGUUUUUAAUAUUUUUUAUAACAGAUAUAACAUUGAAUCCAUAGUGAAGUUAAUCACUUUUUAAUUACCCAUUUUUCUAAUAAUUAAAUCAACAAGGGAGUCUCCUUUGGGUACCAAUCAAUCUCUAACCUUUCUAAACUUCUUGUUUGAAAAAGAGAAAGGCAGAAGUGGGCCUCAAGCAUGACGCCUUCAACUGACUGUACAAGCUAGCUGCAGUUUGAUGAUACUGUUGAAUUUUCUUUAUUAUAUUGUUACCUUUUAUUAAUGGCAAUGGAUAUAUUAGUUUUCCAUUUUUGGUUGAGAUAUGAGGCUUCCUUUAAAACAUAUUUAAGUAAAAAAGAAAAGUGAGUCAAUGUGUUUAAUUAAACAGCCAAAAGUAUUCAAAUGAUGAAUGAUAUAGAUGGGAUGAAUAGAAAGUCAUAGAAAAUUUAUGGUGAUCACUGAAGGUUGAGAAAAACCCAAUCUGAUGAGCACUCUGCUCCAUGUCAGGUCCUGCCUGUUGUGCUUGUCUCCCAGACUGUCUUUUAACUCUCACCUUCUUACAAAUAGUUGAAUCUUAAUAGCUAUUAUUACCUUACAUUUAACAAAAUAGGCAUAUGCAUAUUUUUUCAUUUUCUCCCUCUCCACUAAGGAAAACUUCAGAGAGAGAAAGAAUUUCUCCAGGGUCAAGCAUCCAGCUGAGCAUUCCAGUAGAGAAUGGCAGUGCUGGAAUCCCCCGCUGUUGUCCGGCUUCAAGACUCUUUUGCACUGUCUCCCAGCCCUGCUCCCAUGGGAGUUGUGGAGAAUUCCCAGGGUGAAGAAAGAACCUGGGGAUAGAGCCUCCUUUUUUCAUUUUUUCUUUCUUUUUUUUUUUUUUUUUGCGAUGGUCUUGCUCUGUCACCCAGGCUUGGAGUGCAGUGGUGUGAUCUUGGCUCACUGCAGCCUCAAUCUCCCAGGUUCAAGUGAUCCUUCCUCCUCAGUCUCCAGAGUAGCUGGGACUACAGGUAUGCACCACCAUGCCUGGCUAAUUUUUGUGUUUUUAGUAGAGAUGGGCUUUCAUCAUGUUGGCCAGACUGGUCUCAAACUCCUGACCUCAGGUGAUCCACCUGCCUCAGCCUCCCGAAGUGCUGGGAUUAUAGGCAUGAGCCACUGUGCCCGGCCUCAUUUUUCUUUUCCUUUUUACAGAAAUGGAAAUCACAUGGUAGGUCAUAAGGAGCUGACAGGGCUGGAGUUCCAGUGAGUAUCUGCCCCGGCAGUGCGGCAGCAGACGGGAAGGGUGGGAGGUCAUCUGAGCUGGUAGGGUGAGAACAAAUAUAAAUCUCAGGGGGGAUCCACAAGGGAGCCCAUGUCUUUGGUGCCACACAAAUGCAGUAAGAGCUGUGGACACCAGGGAAUACCAGGGAGUGUUUAAAAGCCCCACAGGCAGAACACACGCAGAGAAAGCAGGAGACUAGGCACUGUGGGUUCUUGGGAAAGAGCUGAUUUUAGUUGCAAAAGCAGAGGAAACCCCAGACAUUGCAUGGCUUUAGGCUUUAGGCUUUAGCCCCACCACCCUCACAAGUCUUCUGUCUCCAGGGGGCCAUCAGUGCCUCAGUUCCACUCGGUGCAGACCCCAGGGUUCUUCCCACCCCUGCAAGCCACCCAUCAGGGUGAACUGAGAGAUCAGCAGAGUCACUUACAACGAAGGGGAAUUGUUCUGGGCAUUGGUUAGUAAACAGGAGAGCAAAAGGGGAGAAGAAAAUUGUGUACAGGCGUUGAGCAUCUCUAGCCGAAGAAGGUGAGGCAUAGAGGUGUCUUACCACCAGGAACAGAUCUGAGUCAUGCAGCACCAAAAUACGUAUUUGAGUCAUGGCAUCAAAACGUUCCUGGUGGUGAAUUCAUGUCCGUGCGGGUCUGCAGCAAUCUCAAUUCUUGCCUCCUCAGAAGAAAGAAUUCGACUGAGGGGCAUGAGGCAGAAAGAGAGAUCGGAGCCAGUUUCAGAACAGGAGUGAAAGUUUAUUAAAAGGCUUUAGAACAUGAAUGAAAGGAAGGAAAGGAUACUUGGAGAAGGACCAAGCAGGCAUCUUGAAAGGCAAGUGCUUUUUUUUUUUUUUUUCAUUUUUUAACCCCUUCCUAAUGUCACUGGAAUAAGAGGCCUGUCCCAGACCCCAAGAGCGGGUUCUUGGAUGUUGGAUGAGGAACAAUUCCAGGUGAGUGGCAGAGUAUAGUAAAGUUAAAAUCGUUUAUCAGAGACCACUCGGUUACAGAGUAGGAUGUCCUCCAAAAGCAAGAGAAGGAACGCGCACACCUUAAAUACGAUUCUUAUUUAUAUAGGUUAACAGAGCUAAGAAGAGAGGUCUUUUGUGCUUUAUUACAGAGGCUGGUGAUCAGCUUCUGACAGGCUAUUAGUAUUAUUUUCCUAUGUUACUACUGAUUUCAGCAAGGAUUUACGAAUGUACUAUUAACCUUAAAUCAAAACCUACUCUUAAACUAAGAAUGCUUUUUGUUCUUAAAAUAUUAAGAGAUUGCCAUAAAAUUCUGCGUCUUUAUUUAGUUAGCAUCAUUAACUUGUUCCCUCAACCAUAAACAUCUUGUGCCCAAGAGUGCCUACCCCCUGGGGGUGUAACCCUGCAGGCAUGGCUAUAUCCCACAUUUAUUAAAG
rnacentral:lncRNA from 1 species